GCAAUUAUACCGCGAAACUGCGAAUGGCUCAUUAAAUCAGUUAUCGUUUAUUUGAUAGUACCUUACUACUUGGAUAACCGUGGUAAUUCUAGAGCUAAUACAUGCUAAAAAUCCCAACUUCGGAAGGGAUGUAUUUAUUAGAUUAAAAACCAAUGCCCUUCGGGGCUCUCUGGUGAUUCAUGAUAACUUCUCGAAUCGCAUGGCCUUGCGCCGGCGAUGGUUCAUUCAAAUUUCUGCCCUAUCAACUUUCGACUGCUGGGUCUUGGCCAGCAAUGGUGACAACGGGUAACGGAGGGUUAGGGCUCGACCCCGGAGAAGGAGCCUGAGAGACGGCUACUACAUCCAAGGAAGGCAGCAGGCGCGCAAAUUACCCAAUCCCGACACGGGGAGGUAGUGACAAUAAAUACUGAUACAGGGCUCUUUUGGGUCUUGUAAUUGGAAUGAGUACAAUUUAAAUCCCUUAACGAGGAACAAUUGGAGGGCAAGUCUGGUGCCAGCAGCCGCGGUAAUUCCAGCUCCAAUAGCGUAUAUUAAAGUUGUUGCAGUUAAAAAGCUCGUAGUUGAACCUUGGGCCUGGCCGGCCGGUCCGCCUCACCGCGUGCACUGGUACGGUCGGGCCUUUCCCUCUGGGGAACCCCAUGCCCUUCACUGGGCGUGUGGGGAAACCAGGACUUUUACUUUGAAAAAAUUAGAGUGUUCAAAGCAGGCCUAUGCUCGAAUACAUUAGCAUGGAAUAAUAGAAUAGGACGUGCGGUUCUAUUUUGUUGGUUUCUAGGACCGCCGUAAUGAUUAAUAGGGACAGUCGGGGGCAUCAGUAUUCAAUUGUCAGAGGUGAAAUUCUUGGAUUUAUUGAAGACUAACUACUGCGAAAGCAUUUGCCAAGGAUGUUUUCAUUAAUCAGGAACGAAAGUUAGGGGAUCGAAGACGAUCAGAUACCGUCGUAGUCUUAACCAUAAACUAUGCCGACUAGGGAUCGGACGAUGUUACUUUUUGACUCGUUCGGCACCUUACACGAAAGUACAAGUUUCUGGGU
rnacentral:rRNA from 1 species